UACGGAGGGUGCAAGCGUUAUCCGGAUUCACUGGGUUUUAAAGGGUGCGUAGGAGGGCAGGUAAGUCAGUGGUGAAAUCUUUGGGCUUAACCCGAAAACUGCCAUUGAUACUAUCUGUCUUGAAUGCGGUGGAGGUGAGCGGAAUAUGUCAUGUAGCGGUGAAAUGCUUAGAUAUGACAUAGAACACCAAUUGCGAAGGCAGCUUACUACAGGGAUAUUGACACUGAGGCACGAAAGCGUGGGGAUCAAACAGG
rnacentral:rRNA from 1 species